GACGAAGGUGGCGAGCGUUACUCGGAAUUACUAGGCGUAAAGCAUGGGCAGGUGGUUCGGCAAGUCUGUUGUGAAAGCUCCCGGCUUAACCGGGAGAGGUCAAUGGAAACUACCGGACUUGAAUGUGGGAGAGGUCACUGGAAUUCCUGGUGUAGCGGUGAAAUGCGUAGAGAUCAGGAGGAACACCAAUGGCGAAAGCAGGUGACUGGACCACUAUUGACACUCAUCCAUGAAAGCUAGGGGAGCAAACAGG
rnacentral:rRNA from 1 species